rnacentral:lncRNA from 1 species
AUGAAUAGUAAGGACAAUACUCGAGAAAUAGCGAUCAUAUACCGAGUAUAUUAUCGACUCAUGGGUACUACUCUAGCCCCUAAAGCUAGAUUCACGAGCCCUAAAGGGGUCACCACCCUAAUGGAAGCAAACAAAGAUCGUAGCACAGUCUUUGUUCCUAAGGCUCUAGUUUGGGAUGAUAUCCUUCAUAGCAAUGAUUGGCACUUUGAGGCUAUCACCCAUCCUGUUCG